rnacentral:rRNA from 1 species
GACGAACGCUGGCGGCGUGCUUAACACAUGCAAGUCGAACGGUAAGGCCCUUCGGGGUACACGAGUGGCGAACGGGUGAGUAACACGUGGGUGAUCUGCCCUGCACUUCGGGAUAAGCCUGGGAAACUGGGUCUAAUACCGGAUAGGACCACUGCCUGCAUGGGUGGUGGUGGAAAGCUUUUGCGGUGUGGGAUGGGCCCGCGGCGUAUCAGCUUGUUGGUGGGGUGAUGGCCUACCAAGGCGACGACGGGUAGCCGGCCUGAGAGGGUGACCGGCCACACUGGGACUGGGAUACGGCCCAGACCCCUACGGGAGGCAGCAGUGGGGAAUAUUGCACAAUGGGCGCAAGCCUGAUGCAGCGACGCCGCGUGAGGGAUGACGGCCUUCGGGUUGUAAACCUCUUUCAGCACCGACGAAGCGCAAGUGACGGUAGGUGCAGAAGAAGGACCGGCCAACUACGUGCCAGCAGCCGCGGUAA